rnacentral:rRNA from 1 species
UACGUAGGUGGCGAGCGUUGUCCGGAAUUACUGGGUGUAAAGCGCGUGUAGGCGGGAGGCCAAGGCUGUGGUGAAAUCGCUCGGCUUAACUGGGCGGGGUCCAUGGAAACUGGUCACCUGGAGGUCGGUAGAGGCAAGUGGAAUUCCCGGUGUAGUGGUGAAAUGCGUAGAGAUCGGGAGGAACACCAGUGGCGAAGGCGGCUUGCUGGGCCGGACCUGACGCUGAGGUGCGAAAGCGUGGGGAGCAAACAGG